AUUGAACGCUGGCGGCAUGCUUUACACAUGCAAGUCGAACGGUAACAGGCCUUCGGGUGCUGCCGAGUGGCGCACGGGUGCGUAAUGCAUCGGAACGUGCCCAGAGGUGGGGGAUAACGCAGCGAAAGCUGUGCUAAUACCGCAUGUGAUCUGAGGAUGAAAGCGGGGGACCAGGCAGCAAUGUUUGGCCUCGCGCCUUUGUAGCGGCCGAUGUCAGAUUAGAGAGUUGGUGGGGUAAAGGCCUACCAAGCCGACGAUCCGUAGCUGGUCUGAGAGGACGACCAGCCACACUGGGACUGAGACACGGCCCAGACGCCUACGGGAGGCAGCAGUGGGGAAUUUUGGACAAUGGGCGCAAGCCUGAUCCAGCAAUGCCGCGUGCGGGAAGAAGGCCUUCGGGUUGUAAACCGCUUUUGUACGGAACGAAAAGGCUCUGGCUAAUACCUGGGGCUGAUGACGGUACCGGAAGAAUAAGCACCGGCUAACUACGUG
rnacentral:rRNA from 1 species